rnacentral:rRNA from 1 species
GUACGCUAUUCAGAGUUUGAUCCUGGCUCAGGACGAACGCUGGCGGCGUGCUUAACACAUGCAAGUCGAACGGGGCGAAGUGAUAGCUUGCUAUUAUGGAGCCUAGUGGCAAACGGGUGAGUAACGCGUAGGCAACCUGCCCUUCAGAUGGGGACAACACCUCGAAAGGGGUGCUAAUACCGAAUGACGUUUCCUGGUCGCAUGACCUGGAAACCAAAGGCCGGGCAACCGGUCACUGAAGGAUGGGCCUGCGUCUGAUUAGCUAGUUGGUGGGGUAACGGCCCACCAAGGCGACGAUCAAUAGCCGGUCUGAGAGGAUGAACGGCCACAUUGGGACUGAGACACGGCCCAA